rnacentral:rRNA from 1 species
GACGAACGCUGGCGGCGUGCUUAACACAUGCAAGUCGAACGGUAAGGCCCUUCGGGGUACACGAGUGGCGAACGGGUGAGUAACACGUGGGUGAUCUGCCCUGCACUUCGGGAUAAGCCUGGGAAACUGGGUCUAAUACCGGAUAGGACCACUGCCUGCAUGGGUGGUGGUGGAAAGCUUUUGCGGGGUGGGAUGGGCCCGCGGCCUAUCAGCUUGUUGGUGGGGUGAUGGCCUAGCAAGGCGACGACGGGUAGCCGGCCUGAGAGGGUGAACGGCCAGCCUAGCACGGAGAUAAGGCCCAGACUCGUCCGGGAGAAAGCAGGGGGGAAUAUUGCCCGAGGGGCGCAAGCGGGAGGCAGCGGGGCGGCGUGAGGGAUGAAGGCCUUCGGAUUGUAAACCUCUGUCAGAAGCCACGAAGCGCAAGUGACGGUAGGUGCAGAAGAAGGACCGGCCAACUACGUGCCAGCAGCCGCCGUAA